rnacentral:ncRNA from 1 species
AGGAGUAAUUAUGACUCUCUUAAGGUAGCCAAAUGCCUCGUCAUCUAAUUAGUGACACACAUGAAUGGAUUAAUGCGAUUCCCACUAUCCAUAUAUAAUUUCUAGCGAAACCACAACCAAGGGAAUAAGAUUGGAUGAAUCAGUGGGGAAAUAACACCUUGUUGAGCUUGACUCGAGUUUGACUUUGUGAAAUGACAUGAGAGGUGUAGAAUAAGUUGGAGCCAUUUUCAAUGCAAGUGAAAUACCACUAUUUCAAUGUUAUUUUACUUAUUCCAUGGGGUGAAGAUGGGGCAUUGCCCCUGUUUUUGUCCUUAAGACACGUUUCAGUGGGUUGAUCUGAGCGAAAGACAUUGUUAGGCAGGGAUUUUGGAUGGGGUGACACAUCUGUUAAAAGAUAACGCAGGUUUCCUAAGAUGAGCUCAAGGAGAACAAAAAUAUCAUGUGGAACAAAACGGUAAACGCUCAUUUGAUUUUGAUUUUCAAUAUAAAUACAAACCGUGAAAUUGUGGCCUAUUAUGAAAUUGAAUUUGUUUUGGCCUUAUAUGGAGGUGCAUGUUUUAUCAAUGCGUAGCUUCAAUUAUAAUGCUACUUAAAUUAAUGCAUAUCUUCAAUUGUAAUGAAUAAUAAGAAGCAUAAGAACUUCUUUCUACAUACCUAUAAGUUUAGCUUCUCCUACACCUUCCAUCAUUUGCCACCAACCUCUUGAUCCUUAUAAUUCAUUUAUGGAUAUGAAUUAAUACAUCAAUUAGAUGUUUGCAUGCAUUAACAUAGUUAAUUUAAAAUACUAAUUGCUUGAGUAAGAUUAAGUGGCCAUGCAUUUGGAGUAAUAGUUCAUGCAA